AUUGAACGCUGGCGGCAUGCCUUACACAUGCAAGUCGAACGGCAGCACGGGUGCUUGCACCUGGUGGCGAGUGGCGAACGGGUGAGUAAUAUAUCGGAACGUACCUUAUCGUGGGGGAUAACGCAGCGAAAGCUGCGCUAAUACCGCAUACGCCCUGAGGGGGAAAAGCGGGGGGACCGUAAGGCCUCGCGCGAUUAGAGCGGCCGAUAUCUGAUUAGCUUGUUGGUGGGGUAAAAGCCCACCAAGGCGACGAUCAGUAGCUGGUCUGAGAGGACGAUCAGCCACACUGGGACUGAGACACGGCCCAGACUCCUACGGGAGGCAGCAGUGGGGAAUUUUGGACAAUGGGGGCAACCCUGAUCCAGCAAUGCCGCGUGAGUGAAGAAGGCCUUCGGGUUGUAAAGCUCUUUUGUCAGGGAAGAAACAGCAGCUCUAACACAGUCUGCGAAUGACGGUACCUGAAGAAUAAGCACCGGCUAACUACGUG
rnacentral:rRNA from 1 species